GUUGCGCUGUACCCUUGCUGGGAUCUGCAGUAUCUCCAAAUGACCCUCUGCCGCAGGGUGGGACAGCGCAAC
rfam:Cerapachys biroi unplaced genomic scaffold scaffold176, whole genome shotgun sequence.